CCGGUUGAUUCUGAGCUCUCCUCUUCCUGACAUUCCCCUUUCCGUUCCUCACUGCGUCAGUCUGAUUUUAGAGUGGGGCUGGUGGCAUCGAUAUUGCGGCAAGUGUGUGGCGGAGUUCACUUACAGUAAUGGUGACACAAGCGGAUGCGUGAAUGCUGUUUGGUACGUUGAGUCACAACACUUGUUGGAGUAACCAUAUAGUUUUGCGCUGGUCUUCGUUCAACCCUAACCGUAAAAGGGGAAAUGGAACAUCACCGUCUCUAAGUUGAUCUCUUGGUGAAGAUACUACCUGUGACGCCGCUGCUGUUUUGCUUAUGGGCACCUUUUGUUUUUGUUUUGAAUACGGACCUGUUGUACAUCAUUGCUUACGGCUUCACUGUUUGGCGGGUCGUUUGGGCCGAUCUCUGUGCCUUUGCCAGGCCAUCUAUCAGUUUUAUUUUGAUUUAGUUUCUUUUAGUAUAAUUUUGUUUGCGCAUUGCGCUGUGGUUUUUCCUUUUUUUUGUACUUUGGGUUUCUUUCAUAACAGUUAACUUUUAUAUUGCUUUUUUUGUUGUUUUGUGCUAUUUGUGGUUGUUUUGCAGCUUCAUAACUGUUCCUUUACAUUCCCGUGUCAUAUAUUGUAUUACGUCAUCAUAAAGAAUCCACAUUAUUUACUUCAUUUGUUUUGUAAUUCUGGUGUCAUUCAGGCACUGUGAUUUGCUCUCACUGCAUUUUGUGCACUUAGGAGGCCGGCGUAUUGGAGCCCCUACAACUAGUGUCUGUAAAUUUAGUCUGAUUGUUUUUCAUUCUUUAUAAUUCUCCUUUCGUAAUUUUUGGUUAAUGUUUUUCAUUUCUGUCUCCAGGAGCCAGUGAGGACUCUGUGUGGAGCAGGGAAGGCUAGCCGUUUUCCUUCCAUGGUGUGUCUCACGGGGUAUUGUGUGUGUGUGUGCGUGUGUGUGUGUUGGUACAAUCUGCUUUACUGUGUGUGUUUGGUGAGGUGUUUGCUGUGGUGUGAAUUUAGGUGGGUUUGGAUGACCUCCCGAGUUGCAGCCGGCCUGCCCUGUUCCCACUAAGCCUGGCCCUGGAGUUAUUUUAAUAAUCUGGUGGUGUGUUUCUGGAGAGAGAGGAUUUUAUUGAUAUUAUUAUAAUAAAGUGUAUUUUUGUAUUGACACUCAUGUCUCACUAGAUCUUAUUUCCUUGCCUUUAACUGGUAAAACGUACCUGUGUCCUUUCUGGGAGUAUUUCCCUGGCGCUCCACCAGGGUGGCGUAGUCGGAUUAAACUAAUUGUGAUUUUGGGGUCUGUUAGACCUAUAUGCACUGCCACAAAAAUAUUUCUAUUUCAGAUAAAUGCUGUGCUUCUGACCUUUCUAUUCAUCAAAGAAACCUGAAAGAAAUUCUGCUCAGCUGUUUUCAACAUCAUCAUAAUAAUUUUUUUUUUUUUUUUUUAG